UACAGAGGUCUCGAGCGUUGUUCGGAUUCAUUGGGCGUAAAGGGUGCGUAGGCGGCGGGGUAAGUCGGGUGUGAAAUCUCAGAGCUCAACUCUGAAACUGCACUCGAUACUGCUCUGCUUGAGGACUGGAGAGGAGACUGGAAUUCACGGUGUAGGCAUGGAAAUGCGUAGAUAUCGUGAGGAAGACCAGUGGCGAAGGCGGAUCUCUGGACAAAUC
rnacentral:rRNA from 1 species